ensembl:lncRNA
CCCACACAUACAGCUGGGAACCAGAAGUGGACCUGUGGCUCCCUGAGGACCUGUUUCCUAGGUCACAAUCCAGGUCCCCCAAGUCUGAAGCAUUCCACCGGAACAGCUCCCCUGAGAAGAGACCCCAGACUAGACGCAGAUCAGGAGAAGGGGGAGAUACAGAGGCCCCAAAAAGCAGAGCCAGAGAUACAGGGAGAAAGCCACUAUGACUAACAGAUGAGUGAGACAGAGACAGAGUAGCUCAGAGCAGCUACGAAGCCGUAGGAACCAGGUGCCUAGAACUAACUCCUUCCUGCCGCUGUAGCGUCACUAGACCUAAGAACUUCCUGUGUCCAUGGAGAAACCCUCUUUACAGCCCACCCCCACAGCCCAGCCCUCCCAGGCACUCACCACUAUCCUCCACGUUUACGGUCCAGGCAGGCUGCCAGGUGUCCUUGAAAGAGGGCCUCUUUUGGCACAGAUAGAAGCCCCCCCUAUGGUCCGAGACAUUGACAAUCACUAGCAAGAUGCCCAGGGGCCCGAUGUGCAGACCCAGGUCCGGGGACCUGAGGCUCAGCUCCAGGAAGGGUGUUGACUGGUUACCUCGAUACCAAGCCAGCUUCUCAGAAGAGACAGGUGAGGAGUCCCGGAGGCAUGACAGCACAACAUUGUCUCCCUCUGUGGGGAGAGGAAAAGGAGAGCCCCAACCCCUUUUCCCUCCUCAUAAAUCAAAGGACCCCAGAAGUUCACCAUAUGGAAAGCCCUAAAGGUCUUUCUGACACCUCUCAGAAGUUUACAAGUAAGAAAAUGGAGGCUCAAAGAAGGCCAGUUACUCAACCAGGAACCCAGGCUCCCAACCCUAGCUCCUUCCAGUCAGACGUACAGACAGACAGACAUACCUUCUACCUCCACCAGUAAGGAAUUCUGGGGCCUGCCUCCUACUAAGGUAAGGAAGAGGAGGAGGGAGACAGGGAGAGGAGAUGGCAUGGUAGCCAGGCUCCCUGGGGCACCCGGCUUCUGCGCGGCUGCGCAGAGGAUGCUGGGGCAAGCAGGAGCCUAGUGGGCAAUGAACCAUGGGUGUCUGUGAGGGUUGUGGCAGUCCCCACAUAGAGGAAAGGGG